rnacentral:rRNA from 1 species
UUCCAGCUCCAAUAGCGUAUAUUAAAGUUGUUGCAGUUAAAAAGCUCGUAGUUGAAUUUCGGGGUUAGUAGGCUGGUCGUGCCACUGGUAUGUACUGGUCUUACUGACUUCUCCUUUCUCAAGAACUGUAAUGCCAUUAAUUUGGUGUUGCAGGGAAUCAGGACUGUUACUUUGAAAAAAUUAGAGUGUUUAAAGCAGGCUAACGCUUGAAUACAUUAGCAUGGAAUAAUGAAAUAGGACGUUCGAUCCUAUUUUGUUGGUUUCUAGGAUUGACGUAAUGGUUAAUAGGGAUAGUUGGGGGCAUUAGUAUUCAAUUGUCAGAGGUGAAAUUCUUGGAUCUAUUGAAGACUAACUACUGCGAAAGCAUUUGCCAAGGAUGUUUUCAUUAAUCAAGAACGAAAGUUAGGGGAUCGAAGACGAUCAGAUACCGUCGUAGUCUUAACCAUAAACUAUGCCGACUAGGGAUCGG